AUGGUGGGGAGGGGAGAAAAGAAUCUCUUUUCUUGGACUUCCAACAUCAUAGUGCUUGGUUUAGGCAAUACCUGUUCAUUCAUUCAUGCAUUAAUUUGUCAAGUGAUUAUUGAUCAGCUACCACAGAUACAUCGUGACAUCACACAAAGUCCACCCCAACCCUUUAUCCACAAUGAGGACUCAACAAGGGCAUUGGGCCAAAACUAAAUGUCUGGAAGUGAGACAGGCUGCAACCCGACAGCCUGUGCAGCUAGUGAGUGGAGGCAUCAGUUGUUAGAUUUCAGUGGGGUUCCAUUUAUUCUUCCUUCCUUCCUUCCUUUCAGUCAUUCAUUUGGCAAACAAUUCCUGAGCAUCUACUGUGUAUCAGAUGUGUGAGGCACUUGGGUUAUCAGAAGGGAAGACCUGGCUCUCAGCAAAGGGCAUUUCAGAUAACAGUAGCUAAUACUUAUCACACGCUUACAAUGUGUGCCAAGAACUAUAUACUGAGUGCUUCCCAUGACUUAUCUCUUUGAAACCUCAUUCUAGAGCUGAUGGAGAAGUCUGCACAGAUGGGGAAAACUGAGAUUCAGACUCCACCUUGUUCCAGGUCACCUCGCCAGAAACAAGUUUGGAGAUGCUGAACCAGAAGAAGUCUGCAAAUGAGCCUUCGCUUUGCAAAGGGCAAGUGUCACCAGCUAUGGACUGUAGGCCAAAUCCAGCCCAAAGAGCCAGUCAGGCUCAGGCUGCUUUGGCAAAUAAAGUUUUAUUGGCAUUUA